GAUGCAAGCCAUAGCUUCAAUAACAAGAGCCACAACAUCUGACCGCCGAAUCGCACGGAAUGCUUGAUUUACUGAUAAAGCCUCUGGUAUGCUACCCGAUGAAGCCACUGCAGUCUUUUUUCUUAUUCCAGCAGUAUCUAUAAGCCGAAACUUCUGCCCAUCUGGUCCAGUAAAUUCUGUAUCAAUAGCAUCACGAGUAGUUCCACUAACGGGACUAACAAUUGUUCUGUCCUCUCCGACUAAAGCAUUCAAAAUACUACUUUUUCCAACAUUUGGACGGCCAACAAUUGCGAUUGCAGGAAUAUAGUUUUCUUCUUCAAGAUAUUCUGUCCCCUCAACUUUCUCUAUCCCUGCACAAACAAGAUCUAGAAGCUCUCCAGU
rnacentral:misc_RNA from 1 species